CGAAGGGGGCUAGCGUUGCUCGGAAUGACUGGGCGUAAAGGGCGCGUAGGCGGCGUACACAGUCAGAAGUGAAAUUCCUGGGCUCAACCUGGGGACUGCUUUUGAUACGUGUGUGCUAGAGUGAGGAAGAGGGUUGUGGAAUUUCCAGUGUAGAGGUGAAAUUCGUAGAUAUUGGAAAGAACACCGGUGGCGAAGGCGGCAACCUGGUCCUUUACUGACGCUGAGGCGCGAAAGCGUGGGGAGCAAACAGGAUUAGAUACCCUGGUAGUCCACGCUGUAAACGAUGUGUGCUGGAUGUUGGGGAACUUAGUUUCUCAGUGUCGUAGCUAACGCGAUAAGCACACCGCCUGGGGAGUACGGCCGCAAGGUUG
rnacentral:rRNA from 1 species